GCUGGGCGUGGUGGCGCACGCCUGUAAUCCCAGCUACUCAGGAGGCUGAGGCAGAAGAAUUGCUUGAACCUGGGAGGCAGAGGUUGCAGUUAGCCGAGAUUGUGCCAUCGCACUCCAGCCUGGGCAACAGAGCAAGACUCUGUCUCAA
rnacentral:SRP_RNA from 1 species